rnacentral:rRNA from 1 species
AGAGUUUGAUCAUGGCUCAGGAUGAACGCUGGCGGCGUGCCUAAUACAUGCAAGUCGAGCGAACCACUUCGGUGGUGAGCGGCGAACGGGUGAGUAACACGUAGGUUAUCUGCCCAUCAGACGGGGACAACGAUUGGAAACGAUCGCUAAUACCGGAUAGGACGAAAGUUUAAAGGUGCUUCGGCACCACUGAUGGAUGAGCCUGCGGCGCAUUAGCUAGUUGGUAGGGUAAAGGCCUACCAAGGCGACGAUGCGUAGCCGACCUGAGAGGGUGAACGGCCACACUGGGACUGAGACACGGCCCAGACUCCUACGGGAGGCAGCAGUAGGGAAUCUUCGGCAAUGGGCGAAAGCCUGACCGAGCAACGCCGCGUGAAUGAUGAAGGCCUUCGGGUUGUAAAAUUCUGUUAUAAGGGAAGAAUGGCUCUAGUAGGAAAUGGCUAGAGUGUGACGGUACCUUAUGAGAAAGCCACGGCUAACUACGUG